rnacentral:rRNA from 1 species
GCCAGUGGUGAACUCCACAUACGCAUCCUUUGCUGAGGAUACGGUUAACGGAGCGAAAGCGACGUUCAACCUCAAAAGAAGCAGAGGGGGCUUAGUGGUGGGGUGACUGCGUACCUUUUGUAUAAUGGGUCAGCGACUUAUAUUCUGUAGCAAGGUUAACCGAAUAGGGGAGCCGGAGGGAAACCGAGUCUUAACCGGGCGUUAAGUUGCAGGGUAUAGACCCGAAACCCGGUGAUCUAGCCAUGGGCAGGUUGAAGGUUGGGUAACACUAACUGGAGGACCGAACCGACUAAUGUUGAAAAAUUAGCGGAUGACCUGUGGCUGGGGGUGAAAGGCCAAUCAAACCGGGAGAUAGCUGGUUCUCCCCGAAAGCUAUUUAGGUAGCGCCUCGUGAAUUCAUCUCCGGGGGUAGAGCACUGUUUCGGCUAGGGGGCCAUCCCGGCUUACCAACCCGAUGCAAACUGCGAAUACCGGAGAAUGUUAUCACGGGAGACACACGGCGGGUGCUAACGUCCGUCGUGAAGAGGGAAACAACCCAGACCGCCAGCUAAGGUCCCAAAGUCAUGGUUAAGUGGGAAACGAUGUGGGAAGGCCCAGACAGCCAGGAUGUUGGCUUAGAAGCAGCCAUCAUUUAAAGAAAGCGUAAUAGCUCACUGGUCGAGUCGGCCUGCGCGGAAGAUGUAACGGGGCUAAACCAU